UAGUGACAAGAAAUACCGAUGCGGGACCCUACGGGUGCCGCGUUCGGAAUGAGUACGAUUCGAACCACCUAACGAGGAACGAUCGGAGGGCAAGUCUGGUGCCAGCAGCCGCGGUAAUUCCAGCUCCAAUAGCGUACGUUAAAGUUGCUGCAGUUAAAAAGCUCGUAGUUGAACGUUCGGGUUCCGCGGGACGGGGCCGCCCCGCGAGGGACGGCGCCGCCCCGGGGCUCGUGAUAUCUCAUCUCGCCGCCCGUCGCGAGGCGGACGGAGGGAUGGAUGAGGUUACCUGGAAAAAAUCGGGGCGAUCUAGGCGGGCGAACCUCGCCAACGAACGAUCGGACAUGGGGAUAACGGAAGAGGGCGUCGGCUCGACUUCGUCGGUUCCUCGGGCCGAGGCACGUACGGUGAAUAGGGGACGGUCGGGGGCCGCCCGUACCGGGGUCGUGAGAGGUG
rnacentral:rRNA from 1 species